GGCGUGUGUGUGUGUGUGUGUGUGUGUGUGUGUGUGUGUGAGUGUGCCCACAUGUGAGUGCAUGUUGUGUGUGAGAGUGCACUGUAUGUUCCCCCUGGCUGCGAGGCAGAUGACUGCCCCUCUCUGCAUCCUGUCUUACCUUCCAGCGUGACGGUCUGUGGCUGCUGCUCUGCAUGGGCCCAGAACCCCUUGCAAUACACUCUGUAAAUACAUGCCCUCGAGCCCCUCGCCCCUUGCCCCUACCCCUGCCCCUGCCCCUGCCCCUGCCCUGUGGCUGCCAGCUUGGCUCUUCUUCCAGGCCUUUUCCCUACCUGCAAGGUUCUCCUUACCACCUGACGCCUCUGUGCACAUGCUAGCAGAAGAGAAUUUGGGGUUCUAGGAGAGCAGAGCCCCCCUGGGGGCUUCCGUGCCCCUGUCCCAGCCCCCAUGACGAGGCAGCAGGGCCACAGACCCUGCACGCUCAGCCCGCCCACCCUCCGGGGUCUCUAAGGCUCAGUGAGGCCUCCUCGGACAUUCAGAGGAGCCGGCCGCCUGCAGGGAAAAGGCAAACCUCUUUCUGGAGAGGAAAGAGGGACGUCCAGCCCGUACGUCCCUGCUGCGAAGGCUCAGGGUGCCCGAGGAAGGAGGCUGCCUGUCCGGGUGCCCUGCAGGUGGACCCCGGAGGCUGCCUGCCCCGGGGGCUGGAGGUGCUGGGAGGGGAGAGGAGAGACCAGCCACCGCAGGCAGCUUUCUGAAACCGGGGAGGGCCUGGUUUCCUUGGUCACAGGAGCAACACGCGCCCCCCCCCCCCCGAGGGUUAGGGAGGGUGUCCCAGCUCCUGAGCCCAAGUGGGUUCUGAUCCAGAGUCACCUGAGAGCUGCAGUCCAGUGGGCUCCUCCAUAGCUCCCUGACCCGGGCCCCGGCCUGAGCCCACCCCAGCCCACUGUGCCUCUCCAUGGGAUGGCUGGGCACAGGUGACUCGGUGGCCUUUUGUUAUUUCUUUUUCCAAUAAAAGAACUUGCUGAGCUUGA